GCUAGCUGCAUUAUGUGUCAAGGCUCCAGUUGCCAUGGUAAUGAAAUGACACUUGUCAAACGAUAAGGCAUUAGUAGCUUGAAGACAAAAAAAAUUGAUGGAAAAAAGAAACCAUAUAUAAUUUAUCUAUAAGGCUCCAUGCAGUGUAUGCAGUGAUAUACAUGGUGAACAGAAAACAUUUCAAAAUAAUGGAAUAUCUGGGUAUAAAUGCAUUACACAACAAUAUAAUAACAUAGCAUACGUACCAAUCAUUUUAUAUUGCAUCACAGAUAAUCGGGGGAGGGCAACUUAUGCUAGCAGGAGUAACUGUUAUAAAUUGAUUUAGUACUUGGUGAUUCUGUACCCAACGUAUAGGCGAGCAGACCUUGUCAGUUGCUGAGUGGAUGGAGACAAGGCAUUUGAGUACUGGUGACUUGGAGUGAAGAACGAGCAGGAGGAAGGCAUUGCCCGAAAAGAACUCUCAUACUAAGAGAAAGGCAUGAACACUUGAAGGUUGAACUGGGAGAGACAUGAUGAAGGUGAUAAAGAUGGAAGCCAUAUUUGUUCAUAAGACUCCAUUUAUAAUUGACAUCUGACCAGCUGUUUCAAAUUGUUUUCAACUUAGAUCUGACACAGGAAAAAGUACAGACACUGCAUUUUGUUUGAACCCACAUUGUGAAGUUAUGACCUUUAUCUAAGAUAUAUUUUACGGUAAUUUCCUAGCAGAAAUAUAAUGUCAGCAGCUAGACAUGUGAGCUUCAAAGGGUAUUUGUCAGUUUGCGGUACAGCAGGUGUAAAAAUAUAACCAGACAUAUGUAGGUUUUGAGGUUAGCAAAAACCCCUAGUUAUUCCACUUAAGAGCACAUAUAAAAAAUAUAGACGUUGGCAAACAUAUUACGUAUAAGAUUGAAGUUUUAUUAGCCAAUAGGAUUAAGCUUCGUGUCAGGAAUCGACGACACAAUAUGUUAAUUGGUAUCACUUUAUAAUGUACUGCUGGUAGGAAAUAAAGCUCUCUCUCUCUCUGCUCUAUUACUUUCCACUUUAUACACGUGUGGCUAGUUAUUACAAAGGUUAUUUUGUUGACUGGUCACUGGCUGCAGCCGUGUAUGAACCUGAUGCUGACUGACUGAAUGCGUGCUUGAACUUGGUUAAGCAAAAGGUGCCCUUUCCUGGGGAUCCCUUUAUCAAUAUGGGGGUUCCGAAUCCGAGAUCCCACAUCACCUGUUGAACAGCGGACGACUGGGCGGACGGUUCCUGGACUGAGACUCAAAAUCCAUGCAUGGCAUUGCUGAAACUGCUAAACCGCAACCAAUUUAUAUGAAACUUAUUGGAGGAGCUAUAAUAUACAAUUCCACAUUCUUCUACUGUGAGACCUGCCAUACCAGAUACACAGAAGCUUCCAGCUGUCCCUACUGUUAUGAUGACGUAAUCUAAUGAACUUUGCUGUCACAAUAUUGAGUCAAAAAGACUUUCAAGGACUAUUGAGCAAGGACUAUGAACAUUAUAAUGAUUCCAUCGUCAAAAGACUCCUCUGCUUUAAGAACUUUCUCUUGUGGUUAGGGAUAAGAGAAUAGGGAACAUUGGUUCUGCCCGAGUAUAGGGAUGUUGAAUGGACUAGCCCAUGCCUGGAGUGCCCUUAUGGUACACCAGUCGUGAAAGUAGGUGUCCCUAUAGAAUCAAUGACCAGGUAAAGGAAGGGUAAAUUAAAGGUAAAAAUUAGAAACAAAGAGGGGAAGUUGAUAAAGAUGGAAGCCAUAUUUGUUCAUAAGACUCCAUUUAUAAUUGACAUCUGACAAGCUGUUUCAAAUUGUUUUCAACUUAGAUCUGACACAGGAAAAAGUACAGACACUGUAUUUUGUUUGAACCUACAUUGUGAAGUUAUGACCUUUAUCUAAGAUAUAUUUUACGGUAAUUUCCUAGCAGAAAUAUAAUGUCAGCAGCUAGACAUGUGAGCUUCAAAGGGUAUUUGUCAGUUUGCGGUACAGCAGGUGUAAAAAUAUAACCAGACAUAUGUAGGUUUUGAGGUUAGCAAAAACCCCUAGUUAUUCCACUUAAGAGCACAUAUAAAAAUAUAGACGUUGGCAAACAUAUUACGUAUAAGAUUGAAAUUUUAUUAGCCAAUAGGAUUAAGCUUCGUGUCAGGAAUCGACGACACAAUAUGUUAAUUGGUAUCACUUUAUAAUGUACUGCUGGUAGGAAAUAAAGCUCUCUCUGCUCUAUUACUUUCCACUUUA